GACAGAGGUGCCGAGCGUUAGGCGGAAUCACUGGGCUUAAAGCGUGUGUAGGCGGAUGCCUAAGUACCUUGUGAAAUCCCACGGCUUAACCGUGGAACUGCUGGGUAUACUGGGUGUCUUGAGCCACUUAGGGGCUACCGGAACAGAUGGUGGAGCGGUGAAAUGCGUAGAUAUCAUCUGGAACGCCUGCGGUGAAAACGGGUAGCUGGGAGUGUGCUGACGCUGAGACACGAAAGCCAGGGGAGCGAACGGG
rnacentral:rRNA from 1 species